ACGCUCGACACCUACGGGAGCAGCAGUUGGGAAUAUUGGACAAUGGAGGAAACUCUGAUCCAGUGACGCCGCGUGAAGGAAGAAGGUCUUCGGAUUGUAAACUUAUUUUGUCAGGGAAGAAAAAUGACUGUACCUGAAGAAAAAGCACCGGCUAACUACGUACCAGCAGCCGCGGUAAUCUGAGCGGGCUGGCAAGGC
rnacentral:rRNA from 1 species